AGCGCGUGGGAAUCUACCUUUUGGUACGGAAUAGCUCCGGGAAACUGGAAUUAAUACCGUAUGUGUCCUUCGGGAGAAAGAUUUAUCGCCAAGAGAUGAGCCCGCGUUUGAUUAGGUAGUUGGUGGGGUAAUGGCCUACCAAGCCGACGAUCAAUAGCUGGUCUGAGAGGAUGGUCAGCCACAUUGGGACUGAGACACGGCCCAAACUCCUACGUGAGGCAGCAGUGGGGAAUAUUGGACAAUGGGCGCAAGCCUGAUCCAGCAAUGCCGCGUGAGUGAUGAAGGCCUUAGGGUUGUAAAGCUCUUUUACCAGGGAUGAUAAUGACAGUACCUGGAGAAUAAGCUCCGGCUAACUCCGUGCCAGCAGCCGCGGUAAUACGGAGGGAGCUAGCGUUGUUCGGAAUUACUGGGCGUAAAGCGCGCGUAGGCGGUUACUCAAGUCAGAGGUGAAAGCCCGGAGCUCAACUCCGGAACUGCCUUUGAAACUAGGUGACUAGAAUCUUGGAGAGGCGAGUGGAAUUCCGAGUGUAGAGGUGAAAUUCGUAGAUAUUCGGAAGAACACCAGUG
rnacentral:rRNA from 1 species